rnacentral:rRNA from 1 species
GACGAACGCUGGCGGCGUGCUUAACACAUGCAAGUCGAACGGAAAGGCCCUGCUUUUGUGGGGUGCUCGAGUGGCGAACGGGUGAGUAACACGUGAGUAACCUGCCCUUGACUUUGGGAUAACUUCAGGAAACUGGGGCUAAUACCGGAUAGGAGCUCCUGCUGCAUGGUGGGGGUUGGAAAGUUUCGGCGGUUGGGGAUGGACUCGCGGCUUAUCAGCUUGUUGGUGGGGUAGUGGCUUACCAAGGCUUUGACGGGUAGCCGGCCUGAGAGGGUGACCGGCCACAUUGGGACUGAGAUACGGCCCAGACUCCUACGGGAGGCAGCAGUGGGGAAUAUUGCACAAGGGGCGGAAGCCUGAUGCAGCAACGCCGCGUGUGGGAUGACGGCCUUCGGGUUGGAAACCGCUUUCGCCUGUGACGAAGCGUGAGUGACGGUAAUGGGGAAAGAAGCACCGGCUAACUACGU